GACGAACGCUGGCGGCGUGCCUAAUACAUGCAAGUAGAACGCUGAAGGAGGAGCUUGCUUCUCUGGAUGAGUUGCGAACGGGUGAGUAACGCGUAAGUAAUCUGCCUGGUAGCGGGGGAUAACUAUUGGAAACGAUAGCUAAUACCGCAUAACAGUAGAUAUCGCAUGAUAUCUACUAGAAAGGUGCAAUUGCAUCACUACCAGCUGGACCCGCGUUGUAUUAGCUAAUUGGGGAGGUAAAGGCCCACCAAGGCCACGAAACAUAGCCGACCUGAGAAGGGGGACGGGCAACCAUGGACCGAGACACGGCCCCGACUCCUAAGGGAGGCAGCGGGAGGGAAUCUUCGGAAAAAGACCGCAGUCUUGCCGAGCAACGCCGCGUGAGUGGAGGAAGUUAUCCGAUCUUAAAGCUCUGUUGUAAGAGAAAGAAGAGUGUGAGAUUGGAACGUUCACACUGUGACGGUAUCUAACCAGAAAGCAACGGCUAACUACGUG
rnacentral:rRNA from 1 species